rnacentral:lncRNA from 1 species
AUUUUAAGAGAGGGACGAAAGAUACCAAAGGGACAGUCACACUCAUAAAUCUAAAACAAACUGACAACGCUAUGGCUAAAAAUGAAAAAGACAAACAGAAAAACAAUAGUAAACAUGACACAACAUAGAAAACUAAAGAAUAAACAACACGAACCCCACCAAAAACUAGGGGUGAUCUCAGGUGCUCCGGAAGGGUAAGCAGAUCCUGCUCCACA